UCGGGAAUUUUGGGCAAUGGGCGAAAGCCUGACCCAGCAACGCCGCGUGAGGGAUGAAGUAUUUCGGUAUGUAAACCUCGAAAGAAUGGGAAGAAUAAAUGACGGUACCAUUUAUAAGCUCCGGCUAACUACGUGCCAGCAGCCGCGGUAAUACGUAGGGAGCAAGCGUUGUUCGGAUUUACUGGGCGUAAAGGGCGCGUAGGCGGCGCGGUAAGUCACUUGUGAAAUCUCUGAGCUUAACUCAGAACGGCCAAGUGAUACUGCUGUGCUAGAGUGCGGAAGAGGCAACCGGAAUUCUUGGUGUAGCGGUGAAAUGCGUAGAUAUCAAGAGGAACACCUGAGCCGAGGGCGGGUUGCUGGGCCGACACUGACGCUGAUGCGCGAAAGCCAGGGGAGCAAACG
rnacentral:rRNA from 1 species